UGCCUUACACAUGCAAGUCGAACGGCAGCACGGACUUCGGUCUGGUGGCGAGUGGCGAACGGGUGAGUAAUACAUCGGACCGUGCCUAGUAGUGGGGGAUAACUACUCGAAAGAGUGGCUAAUACCGCAUGAGAUCUACGGAUGAAAGCAGGGGAUCGCAAGACCUUGUGCUACUAGAGCGGCCGAUGGCAGAUUAGGUAGUUGGUGGGAUAAAAGCUUACCAAGCCAACGAUCUGUAGCUGGUCUGAGAGGACGAUCAGCCACACUGGGACUGAGACACGGCCCAUACUCCUACGGGAGGCAGCAGUGGGGAAUUUUGGACAAUGGGCGAAAGCCUGAUCCAGCAAUGCCGCGUGCAGGAUGAAGGCCUUCGGGUUGUAAACUGCUUUUGUACGGAACGAAAAGCUUCGGGUUAAUACCCUGGAGUCAUGACGGUACCGUAAGAAUAAGCACCGGCUAACUACGUGCCAGCAGCCGCGGUAAUACGUAGGGUGCAAGCGUUAAUCGGAAUUACUGGGCGUAAAGCGUGCGCAGGCGGUUUUGUAAGACAGAGGUGAAAUCCCCGGGCUCAACCUGGGAACUGCCUUUGUGACUGCAAGGCUAGAGUACGGCAGAGGGGGAUGGAAUUCCGCGUGUAGCAGUGAAAUGCGUAGAUAUGCGGAGGAACACCGAUGGCGAAGGCAAUCCCCUGGGCCUGUACUGACGCUCAUGCACGAAAGCGUGGGGAGCAAACAGGAUUAGAUACCCUGGUAGUCCACGCCCUAAACGAUGUCAACUGGUUGUUGGGUCUUCAUUGACUCAGUAACGAAAGCUAACGCGUGAAGUUGACCGGCCUGGGGAGUACCGGCGCAAGGGUUGAAACCUCAAAGGAAUUGACGGGGACCCCCGCACAAGCGGUGGAUGAUGUGGUUAAUUCGAUGCAACGCGAAAAACCUUACCCACCUUUGACAUGGCAGGAAUCCUUUAGAGAUAGAGGAGUGCUCGAAAGAGAACCUGCACACAGGUGCUGCAUGGCUGUCGUCAGCUCGUGUCGUGAGAUGUUGGGUUAAGUCCCGCAACGAGCGCAACCCUUGCCAUUAGUUGCUACGAAAGGGCACUCUAAUGGGACUGCCGGUGACAAACCGGAGGAAGGUGGGGAUGACGUCAAGUCCUCAUGGCCCUUAUAGGUGGGGCUACACACGUCAUACAAUGGCUGGUACAAAGGGUUGCCAACCCGCGAGGGGGAGCUAAUCCCAUAAAGCCAGUCGUAGUCCGGAUCGCAGUCUGCAACUCGACUGCGUGAAGUCGGAAUCGCUAGUAAUCGUGGAUCAGCAUGUCACGGUGAAUACGUUCCCGGGUCUUGUAC
rnacentral:rRNA from 1 species